GAUGAAGAACGUAGCGAAAUGCGAUAAGUAGUGUGAAUUGCAGAAUUCAGUGAAUCAUCGAAUCUUUGAACGCACAUUGCGCCCCUUGGUAUUCCAUGGGGCAUGCCUGUUCGAGCGUCAUUUGUACCUUCAAGCUUUGCUUGGUGUUGGGUGUUUGUCUCGCCUUUGCGUGUAGACUCGCCUUAAAAUAAUUGGCAGCCGGCGUAUUGAUUUCGGAGCGCAGUACAUCUCGCGCUUUGCACUCAUAACGACAGCGUCCAAAAGUACAUUUUACACUCUUGACCUCGGAUCAGGUAGGGAUACCCGCUGAACUUAAGCAUACCAAUAAGCGGAGGA
rnacentral:misc_RNA from 1 species